rnacentral:rRNA from 1 species
UUGCUGACGACCGGCGCACGGGUGCGUAACGCGUAUAGAACCUACCUUAUAUUGGGGGAUAGCCCAGAGAAAUUUGGAUUAAUACCCCAUAGUAUCAUCGAUUGGCAUCGAUUGAUGAUUAAAGAUUUAUCGAUAUAAGAUGGCUAUGCGUCCUAUUAGCUAGUUGGUAUGGUAACGGCAUACCAAGGCUACGAUAGGUAGGGGUCCUGAGAGGGAGAUCCCCCACACUGGUACUGAGACACGGACCAGACUCCUACGGGAGGCAGCAGUGAGGAAUAUUGGACAAUGGAGGCAACUCUGAUCCAGCCAUGCCGCGUGCAGGAAGACUGCCCUAUGGGUUGUAAACUGCUUUUAUAGAGGAAGAAACCCCGGUAUGUAUACCGGUCUGACGGUACUCUACGAAUAAGGAUCGGCUAACUCCGUGCCAGCAGCCGCGGUAAUACGGAGGAUCCAAGCGUUAUCCGGAAUCAUUGGGUUUAAAGGGUCCGUAGGCGGGUCUAUAAGUCAGUGGUGAAAGUUUGCGGCUCAACCGUAAAAUUGCCAUUGAUACUGUAGGUCUUGAAUUAUUGUGAAGUGGUUAGAAUAUGUAGUGUAGCGGUGAAAUGCAUAGAUAUUACAUAGAAUACCGAUUGCGAAGGCAGAUCACUAACAAUAUAUUGACGCUAAGGGACGAAAGCGUGGGUAGCGAACAGGAUUAGAUACCCUGGUAGUCCACGCCGUAAACGAUGGUCACUAGCUGUUUGGUUUUCGGACUGAGUGGCUAAGCGAAAGUGAUAAGUGACCCACCUGGGGAGUACGUUCGCAAGAAUGAAACUCAAAGGAAUUGACGGGGGCCCGCACAAGCGGUGGAGCAUGUGGUUUAAUUCGAUGAUACGCGAGGAACCUUACCAGGGCUUAAAUGUA